rnacentral:rRNA from 1 species
GCUCAGGAUGAACGCUGGCGGCGUGCUUAACACAUGCAAGUCGAACGAGCCUUCGGGCUAGUGGCGGACGGGUGAGUAACGCGUGGGAAUCUGCCCUCAGGAGGGGGAUAACGGCCGGAAACGGCCGCUAAUACCCCAUAUGCCGAGAGGUGAAACGAAUUUCGCCUGGGGAUGAGCCCGCGUCUGAUUAGCUAGUUGGUGAGGUAAUGGCUCACCAAGGCAUCGAUCAGUAGCUGGUCUGAGAGGAUGAUCAGCCACACUGGGACUGAGACACGGCCCAGACUCCUACGGGAGGCAGCAGUGGGGAAUUUUCCGCAAUGGGCGCAAGCCUGACGGAGCAACGCCGCGUGAGGGACGAAGGCCUCUGGGCUGUAAACCUCUUUUCUCAAGGAAGAAGACAUGACGGUACUUGAGGAAUAAGCCACGGCUAAUUCCGUGCCAGCAGCCGCGGUAAUACGGGAGUGGCAAGCGUUAUCCGGAAUUAUUGGGCGUAAAGCGUCCGCAGGCGGCCUUGAAAGUCUGUUGUUAAAGCGUGGAGCUCAACUCCAUUUCAGCAAUGGAAACUACAAGGCUAGAGUGUGGUAGGGGCAGAGGGAAUUCCCGGUGUAGCGGUGAAAUGCGUAGAUAUCGGGAAGAACACCAGUGGCGAAGGCGCUCUGCUGGGCCAUAACUGACGCUCAUGGACGAAAGCCAGGGGAGCGAAAGGGAUUAGAUACCCCUGUAGUCCUGGCCGUAAACGAUGAACACUAGGUGUCGGGAGAAUUAACCCUUCCGGUGUCGUAGCCAACGCGUUAAGUGUUCCGCCUGGGGAGUACGCACGCAAGUGUGAAACUCAAAGGAAUUGACGGGGGCCCGCACAAGCGGUGGAGUAUGUGGUUUAAUUCGAUGCAACGCGAAGAACCUUACCAGGGUUUGACAUCCUGCGAAUCCCUUGGAAACUUGGGAGUGCCUUCGGGAACGCAGUGACAGGUGGUGCAUGGCUGUCGUCAGCUCGUGUCGUGAGAUGUUGGGUUAAGUCCCGCAACGAGCGCAACCCACGUCUUUAGUUGCCAGCAUUCAGUUGGGCACUCUAGAGAGACCGCCGGUGAUAAACCGGAGGAAGGUGUGGAUGACGUCAAGUCAUCAUGCCCCUUACAUCCUGGGCUACACACGUACUACAAUGCUACGGACAAAGGGCAGCAAACUCGCGAGAGCUAGCAAAUCCCAUAAACCGUGGCUCAGUUCAGAUCGUAGGCUGCAACUCGCCUACGUGAAGGAGGAAUCGCUAGUAAUCGCAGGUCAGCAUACUGCGGUGAAUACGUUCCCGGGCCUUGUACACACCGCCCGUCACACCAUGGAAGUUGGCCAUGCCCGAAGUCGUUACUCCAACCCGCAAGGGAGGAGGACGCCGAAGGUGGGGCUGAUGACUGGGGUGAAGUCGU